GACACUGAGGAGGAUACAGGGUAUCUGGAUGUGAUGGUAUCUGAAGCAAAACACCCACCUGCACAACUGGGACCAAUGCCAGAUGGACUAAGCAGCCAGCAGAUUGUUAGACGCCAUAUUUUGAGCUCCAUUGUGCAAAGUGAGAGAAUUACCUGGACUCUCUUAAAAGGAUCCUGCAGGAAUACCAGCGACCGCUGAUGGAGGCUGAGCCUCGGAUCCUCAGUGUCAGGAAAAUCCGGCCCAUUUUUUUCCGUCUACGAGAGAUCACGCAGUGUCAUUCCAUGUUCCAGAUAGCCCUGGCAUCUCGGGUGGCCGAAUGGGACUCUUGUGAAAAGAUUGGGGACCUGUUUGUA